AUGUAAUGCCAACAAUGUUAUUGCACUGUAUCCCAUUAGAACUACGUAAUUAAGUGCACUUGGGCUAGAGUAGUAUUGGGACGGGGGACCUCUCAAUAAGUCCUAUUGUUUUACUUG
rnacentral:rRNA from 1 species